UUGGUUACCACACCAAUUCAAUCCUCACCUAAGUGAUAUGCUUUAGAAUUAGCAUUCUCCUCAUACAAUUAGCGACUACCCGCACCAUCGACUUAACAUGCCUAUAUCAUCAUUCUUAUCAUCAACAGAUGAUAACCAAUUCAUACCAAUAAGCAUCAUUUUACUUCAAAGAAUAACACUAUCUGUUUUUCUCACGGUGGGGAUCAUUCCUGUAUGGCGCUUACUCGAUUCAUAUAUGAACUUAGUCUGUAGACUACCUUGACUCAUAUAUAAACUUAUCAAGUAACAUCCACUAUACCCAUUACUCUCUGGUGAAGUCUAUUUCGACUCUCAACUGACAUCGCUACCUGCAAUUUUGCAAUACCCUGCUCAAUUGUGUGUUUAAUCCCACACAAUUUUCGUUCCUCGUCCAAAAGGUUCAUUCUCAUCUUCACACUCUAAUGAUCUGAAGACAUAAUCCUCCAACAUUUCACGUGGCUUCCACUACACACUAAUCUCAAAGAAAACCUUUUACUUUUCCGGCCACGUUCACAAUAUAUCAAUCUCUCGCCACGAGUUUCCACGAACACCUCGUUCGUGCUUCUAAUCUCAAUUUCUCAUCGGCGCCUAACUCGGCGGUUCAAAAUAGGCAAAUAGUAGGACCGAGCCUCCGCUCCUAA
rnacentral:lncRNA from 1 species